rnacentral:rRNA from 1 species
UACGUAGGUGGCAAGCGUUAUCCGGAUUUAUUGGGUGUAAAGGGCGUGUAGGCGGGAGCGCAAGUCAGAUGUGAAAACUCAGGGCUCAACCCUGAGCCUGCAUUUGAAACUGUGUUUCUUGAGUGCUGGAGAGGCAAUCGGAAUUCCGUGUGUAGCGGUAAAAUGCGUAGAUAUACGGAGGAACACCAGUGGCGAAGGCGGAUUGCUGGACAGUAACUGACGCUGAGGCGCGAAAGCGUGGGGAGCAAACAGG